GUGAGGAAUCUUCCACAAUGGGCGAAAGCCUGAUGGAGCAACGCCGCGUGAAGGAUGAAGGUCUUCGGAUUGUAAACUUCUUUUAUGAGUGAAGAAUAUGACGGUAACUCAUGAAUAAGCACCGGCUAACUACGUGCCAGCAGCCGCGGUCAUACGUAGGGUGCAAGCAUUAUCCGGAGUGACUGGGCGUAAAGAGUUGCGUAGGCGGUUAUGUAAGCGAAUAGUGAAACCUGGUGGCUCAACCACACAGACUAUUAUUCGAACUGCAUAACUCGAGAAUGGUAGAGGUAACUGGAAUUUCUUGUGUAGGAGUGAAAUCCGUAGAUAUAAGAAGGAACACCAAUGGCGUAGGCAGGUUACUGGGCCAUUUCUGACGCUAAGGCACAAAAGCGUGGGGAGCGAACCGGAUUAGAUACCCCUGUAGUCC
rnacentral:rRNA from 1 species